AUCGCUUGUCGGUGGUGGAACGAUCAAGUGUAGUAUCUGAUUCUUAUCAGUUUAAUAUCUGAUACGUCCCCCAUAGGGGGACCGUCUAUAUUAAAUGGAUUUUUGGAAUCGGGAGAUGGAAGCGGGGCUUGCUCCGUCCACUCCACGCAUCGACCCGGUAUUGCAGUACCUCCGGCGGACAAGGUACAAGUG